GAUGAACGCUAGCGGCAGGCCUAAUACAUGCAAGUCGGACGGGAUUUGGGAGCUUGCUCCCAAUGAGAGUGGCGCACGGGUGCGUAACACGUAUGUAACCUACCUUGUUCAGGGGGAUAGCCUCUCGAAAGAGAGAUUAAGACCGCAUAACAUUAUUGAGUAGCAUUACUUAAUAAUCAAAUAUUUAUAGGAACAAGAUGGGCAUGCGGAACAUUAGCUAGNGGUAGGGUAACGGCCUACCAAGGCUACGAUGUUUAGGGGAUCUGAGAGGAU
rnacentral:rRNA from 1 species